ensembl:rRNA 5S_rRNA 5S ribosomal RNA
GUCUACGGCCAAACCACCCUGAACACGCCCAAUCUCAUCUGAUCUGGGAAGCUAAGCAGGGUCGGGCCUGGUUAGUACUUGGAUAGGAGAAAGAAAGCCAAGGUCAUUGUUGGAC